CUUUAGCCCCGAUUGAAAUGGAAAUCCUUUUAAUUUUUAAAGAAAAAAUUAAAAGAUUGUAAUGGAAAGCGGGAAACAGC
rnacentral:sRNA from 1 species